UGUGUAGGCGGCCUUUUAAGUUUGGUGUGAAAUCUCCCGGCUCAACUGGGAGGGUGCGCCGAAUACUGAAGGGCUCGAGUGCGGGAGAGGAGAGUGGAAUUCCUGGUGUAGCGGUGAAAUGCGUAGAUAUCAGGAGGAACACCGGUGGUGUAGACGGCUCUCUGGACCGCGACUGACGCUGAGACACGAAAGCGUGGGUAGCAAACAGGAUUAGAUACCCUGGUAGUCCACGCCCUAAACGAUGCACAUUUGGUGUGGGUCAUUCAGUUGAUCCGUGCCGGAGCUAACGCGUUAAAUGUGCCGCCUGGGGAGUACAGUCGCAAGGCUGAA
rnacentral:rRNA from 1 species